UCUAGUUUUCUAUUCAGGCUAGGUUUAUUUUCUAUUAUAUGUGUAGCUUCUGUAAUUUGUCUAAUUGUUGCAUCUGUUCUAUGUGUGGACAAUAUCUUAAUCUCUAUGUUAUUGAUUGAUCCCCCGUGUUCUUGUUCGGCGUGUUGGUACAGAAUCGAUGAGCUUUUACCUUCCUUGAGUUGUCUCCAAUGUUCAUUCACCCGCUCACCAAUGCUUCUUGCAGUUUCCCCUACGUAUGUUACUGUCUUGUUACUGCAUCGUCCCUCUAUACAUCUUAUACUAUAGACCACAUUUCUGGCUUUACAGUUCGUUUGUGGGCUAAAUCUACAUACAGUGCAAUAGUUAUCCGUACAGAGAGUUCUACUAAAAGGAUAGGUUCUACCAAUUAUAGAUCUGAUAGGGUUGCCUGGCUUUUUAACAACCUUAAUUCUUAGUUUAAGUUUAUCUAGGGUCCUUCUAAAGCGGUACGCUAGUUCACCUCCAGGGGUGGUGUCAACGAACAUGACACUCUGGUAUUUAUGGCUAUCAUACCAAGAGUUGGCCUUCCUUAUUUUCUUUUUGUCCUUUCUAUAGUGUUCCAUGACUUGUUCCUGUAGAGUGGGCAAAUCCCAUUCCUAUCAUUACAUAAUAUAUUAUCAAAUUUCUUCAUGGCUCCUUUGUAUACUCUGAUCCUUUCUUUAUGGCUGUAACAUGAGAACUGCAUGCGGUGAAUGAAAUACUGUAUGUGUCUCUUUAAUUCUGUAGGCUCGCACAUGCGUGACACAUUUCUCAUUAUUCUGAUGAGGUCUGCCAUCAAAAUAUUGAAUUUGGCAUUGCCCGCAAUGGCUGAGUUCCGGUGGAUCAGGUAUUUUGAGGCCAUAGGUUUUGCAUAGUAUGAAUAAAUAUCACUGAAGCAAAAUAACACCAAAUAUAUAGUGCGUGUGUUUUUAUUGGCUAAACUGGCAAUAUGACCAUUCCGAAAUAUAUAUAUAUAUAUAUAUAUAUAUAUAUAUAUAUAUAUAUAUAUAUAUAUAUAUAUAUAUAUAUAUAUAUAUAUAUAUAUAUAUAUAUAUAUAUAUAUAUAUAUAUAUAUAUAUAUAUAUAUAUAUAUAUAUAUAUAUAUAUAUAUAUAUAUAUAUAUAUAUAUAUAUAUAUAUAUAUAUAUAUAUAUAUAUAUAUAUAUAUAUAUAUAUAUAUAUACAUAUAUAUAUAUAUAUAUAUAUAUAUAUAUAUAUAUAUAUACAUAUAUAUAUAUAUAUAUAUAUAUAUAUAUAUAUAUAUAUAUAUAUAUAUAUAUAUAUAUAUAUAUAUAUAUAUAUAUAUACAUAUAUAUACAUAUAUAUAUAUAUAUAUAUAUAUAUAUAUAUAUAUAUAUAUAUAUAUAUAUAUAUAUAUAUAUAUAUAUAUAUAUAUAUAUAUAUAUAUAUAUAUAUAUAUAUAUAUAUAUAUAUAUACAUAUAUAUAUAUAUAUAUAUAUAUAUAUAUAUAUAUAUAUAUAUAUAUAUAUAUAUAUAUAUAUAUAUAUAUAUAUAUAUAUAUAUAUAUAUAUAUAUAUAUAUAUAUAUAUAUAUAUAUAUAUAUAUAUAUAUAUAUAUAUAUAUAUAUAUAUAUAUAUAUAUAUAUAUAUAUAUAUAUAUAUAUAUAUAUAUAUAUAUAUAUAUAUAUAUAUAUAUAUAUAUAUAUAUAUAUAUAUAUAUAUAUAUAUAUAUAUAUAUAUAUAUAUAUAUAUAUAUAUAUAUAUAUAUAUAUAUAUAUAUACAUAAAUAUAUGAACAUACACACAUAGAAAUACAUAUAUAGAGUUUAAAAAUAGGAUUAAAUCUUUAUAAGAAUUUAUCAAGUAGUUAGCGUAAAAAGCCUCAUAAGGGAAAAAAUUAAUAAUUAUUCCUUUUAGACGUAAUUAUUUAUAUUAAGUUCAUUACUAUACAUAAAUGUCGUACGCUAGGAGGGACUCUUCAAGUCAAAACUACCAUAAUGAACACAUCGUACUGAACUCGAGGGAAUGUAACUUUCGAAGCUAGCUUUUUAAAAACAUAUUCAGCCGCAGAUCAUAUGAUUUCACAAUUAGUGCACAAAAAUGCGCUUUUUAAUGGUAGUGUUUAUUAUGGUAGUGUUGCUAUUUAAGAGUAAGGGUACUAUUUAAGUGUAGGGGUGUUAAUUAAGUGUAGGGGUGCUCUAAGUGUAGGGAUGAUAUAUAAGUGUAAGGGUACUAUUUCAGUGUAGGGUGUUAUGUAAGUGUAAGAGUGCUAUUUAAGUGCAGGGGUGCUAUUUAUGUGUAAGGAUGCUAUUUAAGUAUAAGAGUCCCGCCUAGCAUGAGGCAUUAUGUAUAGUAAUGCCCUUAAUAUAAAUAUAAUUGUAUAUGGAAUUGCGAGGAUGAUCCGGUUCCUGACUGAAGAUUGAAGGCUUUUGUGUCUUUUGUAUCGUCUUCUAAAUGUUUUGCGUUCUUGUCCCAGUUUGUAUUUUUUACAUAUAUAUAUAUGUACGCUGGUAUACACACAUAUAUGUAUAUACAUAUAUAUAUGUGUGUGUGUUAGUGUGUGUGUCUGUGCAGAUGCGUGCUUGUGCAUAUACCCCCGUAGAUGUAUAUGUUUGUGUAAUACUCCAGUGUGUGUGCGCGCGCACGCCAAUGUAUGCCUUUAUAUCGUUGUAUACAUUGUCUGCAGUGCCUUAGGUUAAUGACAGUCACGUUACAUUUUCCUUGCUGAAAUGUAUGCUCUCCAGCUUACAUAUGCACAUGCGCGCACACACACAUGUGCACUCAAAAACACACUCACAUAUUCACAAAAGCUCGCACAAAGACACAAGGUGUGGAACAGACAUAGCUAAAGUUCACUAUAAAUUUAAGUUAUCACUCCAAAGAGAAAUAAAUUGCUUCACCUUUAACUGAAAUUUUCUAACGUUAAUAAAUUUCAGACAUACACUUUCGUUUUGCUCUUAGCAAAGUCGACACUAACAAUCGACAGAUGAUUACUAAAAACAAAAGGAAAAUAAUAAGAAAAGUGUCAGCCUCAAGAGAGAUUAUAUAUCAAGUUUUCAAAAUUGCUGACUAUGAAAGCAAAGACCAUUUCCAUUAGAUGUUUAUUCGUGUUAUUGAUCUGUACAAAAUAUACAUUCUAUACUGGAUGGGUAAAAUUUUAAUAACAUUUCGAAGCAUUUCUGCAAGAACAACAAAAAUAUAUUUUCCUUCAGAGUAAUCGAACUGUUUACUUUUUCCGAAUACAUGCCGGAUGAAAUGUCGGUGGAUUUAAUCAUCCAUAAAUAGAUAAACAAAAAAUAUUAAUUUACAAUGGAAUCGAUCAUAUUUGACAGAAUGCAAUUUAUAAAGUAAACACAUGAAAAUACAUGUAAGUUAUAUAUUAUUACUUUUACUAAAAUCAACAUAUUCAAUGGAGACGGUAAUGAAGAAAUAACAACUAUUCACUUAAGGUCAUAAAAAAUAAGAUUGGCGGUAUUGAUACUGGGAUAAUUCUAAUAAAUGAUUAAUAUUAAAAUAUCGAAAUUCAAAAUACGUUUCGGGUGUAAUCAUUUUUUUUUAAUGUAUUUACAUGGUGGACAUUUAAUAUUUUUAUUACAAGGAAUAUUUAACUCACAGAAACAUUGUAAUGACAAUAUAAUCAAUAAGAUUUGAUGAAAGAUUCGGCUGCUAUCAGGAUAUAUAAAUAUGUGUGUGUUUGCACGCCCUUGUGUAUAGACACACAUGGACAGUCAUGUAUACAUAGUGACUUGGGAAUAUACACUUGGAGCCGAGUAUAAACACCCCCCACACACACACCACACGUUUAUAUGAUGCUAUCGGCUUAUGAUAAAUGGUUUUAUAUCUUUUUAUCUGUCUAUAAGCUGAUAAUUCUAAAACAUAUCAUUUUAUAGAGGGUAAUUUAAUGGAUUUAUUUUACGAAUUUUACCAUUUACAGACAGAUUUUCUAUACAUUAUGUAAAAUAUACUUUUUUCAAUGUGUAUGAAAGCCAUUUUGGGACUGUUAUCAAGAAUGCUAUGAUAAAAAAAAACACAAAAUAACUUCAGUACCACAAAAAUAAUUUAGCAACAGCAACACAUACGCACGCACACACACACCGUGUGUGUGUAAGUGAACCAAUGUGAGUAUGCCUGUGUAUAAGACAGUAAAUAAAAAUCUGAAUAGGUAGAAAGAAAAAGUAUUGUAUAUUUUUCCAGCGUGUCUACAGUCUAUUUGUUUUUGAGACGUAACAGUUGGCGGUGUUUAUCAAAACAGCUGUUAAUUCAGCAAUUUUCAUAUAUCUUGCUUCUAGUAUGCGGUGAAGACACCGCACGUCUCAUGGUAAUUUGAUGGAACUUUGAAUAAUCUUAGGCAAAUAUAGGAAAGGAAAAACUAGAAAUACAAUCAUAAGCCGGUCCGGGCAUCAUUUUGUCAGAUACAUGAAACUAAAAGAUGUCCCGUGUGAAAUCACGUGGCUUCGAGUUCCAUCUUACCUCUUGUGUUCUUGGUGUGGAAUCGUAAAUUAGAUCAAUAUAUUGUGAGUCAAUUUUGUAAAAGGAAUAUGUACAGACGAUCGCCAUACAAAUAUAAGUCAUGGAGCCAUACAUAUAGAGAUAUUCAUAAAUACAUAUACAAAUAGGUGUGUGUGUGACUGUGCGUGUACCUAUGUAUGUAUAUACUCUAACUCACAAAUAUCCAUUCAAAUAUAUGUAUGCAUGCAUAUCUAUAUGCAUAUAUAUAUAUAUAUAUGUGUGUGUGUGUGUAUACAUUCAUACAUACAUACAUACAUACAUACAUAUACAUACAUACACACACACACAUAUAUAUAUAUAUAUAUAUAUAUAUAUAUAUAUAUAUAUAUAUAUAUAUAUAUAUAUAUAUAUAUAUAUAUAUAUAUAUAUAUAUAUGUACAAGGUGACACGUGAGCACCUGCAUCGCUGAAAAUAGAAGUGAAAUAUACUCUUGUACUAUGGAAUUAAUCACAAAAGUAAUACAAAUAUCAUAGGAAAAACUUCCAGUGAACAAUAAAAUCGUCUUAUCUCAACUAUAUCAGAAAAAGUUAGUUUGAUAUCACAAUAUCAUAUAUAUAUAUAUAUAUAUAUAUAUAUAUAUGUGUGUGUGUGUGUGUGUAUGUAUAUAUAUAUAUAUGUAUAUAUGUGUAUAUAUAUAUGUAUAUAUAUAUAUAUAUAUAUAUAUAUAUAUAAUUAUUUAUAUAUAUAUAUAUGUAUAUAUCUUAUACGUAUGCAUAUAUGUAUCUAUAUUGCUAAUUAUGGCUGUUCGGCUGCUAUUUGCUGCCACUAGUGAUGAGUUUUUGAUUGUACUAUCACUCUCAUAUUUACCGAUAAAUAAUUUCACGCACUUUGUUUGUUUAACAGGUGUUUGGCCGCUUCAAAUGAAUUUGCGGCCAUGGAAGGGCAACAUUUUAGGAGUUGUUGGCUCGCAGAUUUGGCUAACAAGAAUAAGGAACCUUUUGGUGGUAAAUUUGAAAUGAUGAUAUCGAGUUAACCGGCAUUACCUUUGCUGACCUAGCAGAG
rnacentral:lncRNA from 1 species